GAGUGAAGCGGCAAAGCUCAAAUUUGAAAUCUGGCACUUUCAGUGUCCGAGUUGUAAUUUGAAGAAGGUAUCUUUGGGUCUGGCUCUUGUCUAUGUUUCUUGGAACAGAACGUCACAGAGGGUGAGAAUCCCGUGCGAUGAGAUGUCCCAGACCUAUGUAAAGUUCCUUCGAAGAGUCGAGUUGUUUGGGAAUGCAGCUCUAAGUGGGUGGUAAAUUCCAUCUAAAGCUAAAUAUUGGCGAGAGACCGAUAGCGAACAAGUACAGUGAUGGAAAGAUGAAAAGAACUUUGAAAAGAGAGUGAAAAAGUACGUGAAAUUGUUGAAAGGGAAGGGCUUGAGAUCAGACUUGGUAUUUUGUAUGUUACUCUCUCGGGGGUGGCCUCUACAGUUUACCGGGCCAGCAUCAGUUUGAGCGGUAGGAUAAGUGCAAAGAAAUGUGGCACUGCUUCGGUAGUGUGUUAUAGUCUUUGUCGAUACUGCCAGCUUAGACUGAGGACUGCGGCUUCGGCCUAGGAUGUUGGCAUAAUGAUCUUAAGUCGCCCGUCUUGAA
rnacentral:rRNA from 1 species